rnacentral:misc_RNA from 1 species
GUUUCAGCUUUCCAUUUUUUAAAGAGUUCUUAAUAAGUCAAUGUCCAGUCACAAAUCAAGCUUCAACAUUAGUAUCAGACACGUUUAGUACCUUCAUACAAGUAUCAAAUAUUAAAAGAAGAGGCUUUAUUAGUAACCAGCGAAGAUGUUCAUCUGAAACCUUAUAACAUGAUCGACAAAACUAUGCCAACUGGUCACUUAUAUACGUUUUGGUGGAAUGUAUUGGACUCGUUCAUCUUCGCAUAAAUUCUGUAAGUCCUCUGGCAGUGCCUCUGAGACAGCAAGAGUGUAACAACCAGGGACAAAUCGUCCGAUUCUCAACCAACGAGCGGCCCAGCUUCUACUUGGGUCCAUGACAGAAAUUAUCCCAUUGAAGUUAGGAGUGGUGCAAUCUACGACACGCUCAUGAUCUUCAUCCAUCUUAAAGAAGGGGCAAUUCUCGCACCCGGACUCUCUGAACUGAUCGUAGGUUUUGACGAGGCGGCAACGAAGACAAGCCCUCAGUUCAUGGCCAAAACUAGUCGGAAUUUGUGCCGGUGCGCUUCCCAUCCUACCAGUCGUCUGUUUAAUUGCGUUCUCUGACUGCUACUUCACCAGACGUAGAGCAGAUAAGCAUUGGGGUUUCGGCCCUCACGUCCUUAACCUUGCCUUACAGCCUGAAU